rnacentral:piRNA from 1 species
UGAAGAGACAGAGGAAGAAUAAAGGAGU